rnacentral:lncRNA from 1 species
GGGGGGAGAUUUGUGGCUGUGAUUUGAGGGGAGACGGUGAUGGGAAUGGAGGUCCGGUGGGGGUGGGGUCUUCGGGUGCCUGAGGAAGAAGGAAAAAAAUCGAAGAGGAGGGGUUUGGGGCUGACUUUGUUUGGCUUUUGUUGCAGUUUGGGGGAGGUUGAGAGUGAGGGUCAAGAGACAGAGGUGGCUCCGGCGUGCUGGGGAGAGUCUGAAAAAUGGCAGGGACGACCGGUGUGUAGAAGAAAAAAUAAUCCGGGGGGGAAGUUUGGGCUGAGAGGGAAGAAGAGAAAAAAAAAAAUUUGGAUCCCCCAAGCGGGGAGGCUGUGAGGUUGAUUUGUAAGGAAAAAAAAUGAGAUUGAUUGGGGGCUGAGAGAGCAAAUCAAAAACCAGGGGGAGAGCCCUUUGGUGGCUUCGGCUGAGAA